CAGCAGCAGCCGCGGGAAUACGUAGGUGGCAAGCGUUGUCCGGAAUUAUUGGGCGUAAAGGGCUCGCAGGCGGUUUCUUAAGUCUGAUGUGAAAGCCCCCGGCUCAACCGGGGAGGGUCAUUGGAAACUGGGAAACUUGAGUGCAGAAGAGGAGAGUGGAAUUCCACGUGUAGCGGUGAAAUGCGUAGAGAUGUGGAGGAACACCAGUGGCGAAGGCGACUCUCUGGUCUGUAACUGACGCUGAGGAGCGAAAGCGUGGGGAGCGAACAGGAUUAGAGACCCCAGUAGUCCCUGUCUCUUAUAC
rnacentral:rRNA from 1 species